rnacentral:snRNA from 14 species
CAUUAUUAUUAUGAUCAAGAAGGUGGUUCACCCAGGGCGUGGCUCAGCCAUUGCACUCCGGUUGUGCUGAUGCCUAAGAAGUCCCCAAAUGUGGGAAUCUA